rnacentral:rRNA from 1 species
AUGCGGCAGACUAAACAUGCAAGUCGAGCGAGAUCUUCGGAUCUAGCGGCGGACGGGUGAGUAACGCGUGGGAACGUACCCUCUUCUGCGGGAUAGCCACUGGAAACGGUGAGUAAUACCGCAUACGCCCUUCGGGGGAAAGAUUUAUCGGAGGAGGAUCGGCCCGCGUUGGAUUAGGUAGUUGGUGGGGUAAUGGCCUACCAAGCCUACGAUCCAUAGCUGGUUUUAGAGGAUGAUCAGCCACACUGGGACUGAGACACGGCCCAGACUCCUACGGGAGGCAGCAGUGGGGAAUCUUAGACAAUGGGCGCAAGCCUGAUCUAGCCAUGCCGCGUGAGUGACGAAGGCCUUAGGGUCGUAAAGCUCUUUCGCCUGUGAUGAUAAUGACAGUAGCAGGUAAAGAAACCCCGGCUAACUCCGUGCCAGCAGCCGCGGUAAUACGGAGGGGGUUAGCGUUGUUCGGAAUUACUGGGCGUAAAGCGCACGUAGGCGGAUUGGAAAGUAUGGGGUGAAAUCCCAGGGCUCAACCCUGGAACGGCCUCAUAAACUUCCAGUCUGGAGUUCGAGAGAGGUGAGUGGAAUUCCGAGUGUAGAGGUGAAAUUCGUAGAUAUUCGGAGGAACACCAGUGGCGAAGGCGGCUCACUGGCUCGAUACUGACGCUGAGGUGCGAAAGUGUGGGGAGCAAACAGGAUUAGAUACCCUGGUAGUC